rnacentral:rRNA from 1 species
GCUUACGGCCACACCGCCUGGUUCAUGCCCGAUCUCGGAAGCUAAGAUAGGUUGGGCCUGGUUAGUACUUGGAUGGGAGACCGCCUGGGAAUACCAGGUGCUGUAAGCU